rnacentral:lncRNA from 1 species
UGGGUUAUAUUUGUGGAUUGAAAUGGAUUUCGAGCUCUAUAGGUUUUGGGCCCGAAUCUGCAUGUGGACUGGAUUGAGAAAUUUAUUCAUAUGAAGAUUGGAUUUUGAAUUUUUAUUGGUUUUGGACCCGAAUCUGCAUGUGGCUGAGAUGGAUUUCGGGCUCUACGGGUUUUGGGCCCGAAUCUGCUUGUGGACCCGAAUCUGCAUGUGGAUUGAGAAGGAUUUCGGGUUGGGUUGAAUUUAAU